rnacentral:snoRNA from 2 species
CCAACGUGGAUAUCCCAUGAGUUUGUUCUUGUGGGCUCUGUCCUGGUGGCGUAUGGGAGCAUCGCCCUGUGUGGCGCAGUGAUGUAUAAUCCCCUUCCACAACGUUGGAGAGCAAGCAUGUCCCCGGCCUUUAGGCUGGUGUGGGCAGCAUCCUGUAUAUUCCUAUAGCUUCCCAGAGCCCUCGGGCAGUGACUGGGGAGACAAACCAUACAGGGUACAUUA